UACGUAGGGGGCAAGCGUUGUCCGGAAUCAUUGGGCGUAAAGAGCGUGUAGGCGGCUCGAUAAGUCUGCUGUGAAAGUCCAGGGCUCAACCCUGGAAGGCCGGUGGAAACUGUCGGGCUAGAGUCCGGAAGAGGCGAGUGGAAUUCCCGGUGUAGCGGUGAAAUGCGCAGAUAUCGGGAGGAACACCAAUGGCGAAGGCAGCUCGCUGGGACGGUACUGACGCUGAGGAGCGAAAGCAUGGGUAGCGAACAGG
rnacentral:rRNA from 1 species